rnacentral:rRNA from 1 species
GUAACAUGGAUUGCUUGCAAUCUGAUGACGAGUGGCGCACGGGUGCGUAACGCGUAUGCAAUCUACCUUUUACAGGAGAAUAGCCCAGAGAAAUUUGGAAUAAUGCUCCAUAAUAUCAUUUAUCAGCAUUGGUUUAUGAUUAAAGCUCCGGCGGUAAAAGAUGAGCAUGCGUUCUAUUAGCUAGUAGGUGAGGUAACGGCUCACCUAGGCUACGAUAGAUAGGGGCCCUGAGAGGGGGAUCCCCCACACUGGUACUGAGACACGGACCAGACUCCUACGGGAGGCAGCAGUGAGGAAUAUUGGACCAUGGAGGAAACUCUGAUCCAGCCAUGCCGCGUGCAGGAUGACUGCCCUAUGGGUUGUAAACUGCUUUUAUAUAGGAAGAAACACUCCCACGUGUGGGGGCUUGACGGUACUAUAUGAAUAAGGAUCGGCUAACUCCGUGCCAGCAGCCGCGGUAAUACGGAGGAUCCAAGCGUUAUCCGGAAUCAUUGGGUUUAAAGGGUCCGCAGGCGGCCUGUUAAGUCAGAGGUGAAAUCCUACAGCUCAACUGUAGAACUGCCUUUGAUACUGAUAGUCUUGAGUUAUUGUGAAGUGGUUAGAAUGUGUGGUGUAGCGGUGAAAUGCUUAGAUAUCACACAGAAUACCCAUUGCGAAGGCAGAUCACUAACAAUAUACUGACGCUCAUGGACGAAAGCGUGGGGAGCGAACGGGAUUAGAUACCCCGGUAGUCCACGCCGUAAACGAUGGAUACUAACUGUUCGACCUUCGGGUUGAGUGGUCA